rnacentral:lncRNA from 1 species
CUUAUGUUCAAAGUUGGUUUAUUUGAUUUUUUUUCAGCAAAGGCAAAUACAGAAAACAGGUCAGUCAAUUCAUCAGUAAGCAUAUAACUUUAGUUAAAGAAUAAUUAAGGAACUUACAUGAUAUACACAGAAUACCUCUAAAAAUAUAAAAUGCAAUUUUUUCGUUGUCUGAAGUAAAAUGCAACUGUUGUGAUCAAAAAUACUUCUGUAAAUUUAUCUCAAAAGUUGUUUUGAUCAAUUUUUUUAAGCCUAACUUGCAGUGAAGCAUUUCUAGUAUUCCAAACAAGCAAAAAAACCCCACAAUCCCCAACCUCCCUCCCCCCCCCCGAUGAAAAGCUGGUGUUUGUCUGGAUCAAAUUUGUUAGUUUAGGGUUUUUUUAAUUAGAAAACAUGAAAUAUACAAAUAAAUAAAUCAUAUUACAUCUACAAUAGCAACAGCAAACAUCACCUCUCACAUCCUCAGUAAUGCACGCAGACAUAUACAUACACACAACUUUUUGCCAGGCUCUAGAGAGGCUGCUGCUCUGGAACCAACAAAACAUUGGUUCUGAACGUUCAGUCGUAAGUCUUGCACCUGCUAAACCUCUGUUGAUUUUUUUAGAUUGACAGUUUGUACCCUCAGUAAACAUAUGACAUAAAAAGCACAAUCCAAAACACUGUGCACUUAGUAAGAGAGAAUAUUUCAGAUGCACAAACAGAUGUUAAUCAAACCCAAAAGACAAGAGGAUACUCUAGUGAUCCCAAUAUGACAACAAAUAUUGAGAGAGAAGGAAGACUGAGAAACCCUUAAACUCAUCAUCAGAACAAAAUCAUCAGAGGACCCCUGCAGGCUUCCCAUCUGUCUGUUCUGUCAGUAAAAUGGGCCACAGAGUCGUACACCCAGAGGUAGGCAUGUUUUUAGCAACUUUUGCUCGUGAAGGGGGCAUAGAGCCCUGCCAAGGCACUGGGAGGCUGUCAUGGUUUAACACCAGCCAGCAACUAAGCACCACACAGCCACUGCUCACUCCCCUGUGGGAUGAGGGAGAAAGUCAGAAGAGUAGCCUUAUACUAGAUCCUACAAAGAAAAUUAACUCUAUCC